rnacentral:rRNA from 1 species
CAGCAGCCGCGGUAAUACCGGCGGCCCGAGUGGCGGUCACUCUUAUUGGGCUUAAAGCGUCCGUAGCCGGGUUGGGAAAUCCUCCGGGAAAUCUGGCCGCUUAACGGUCAGAAUGCCGGAGGAUACUCCCAGCCUAGGGAGCGGGAGAGGCCGAGGGGAUUCCCGGAGUAGGGGGGAAAUCCUAUAAUCCCGGGAGGACCACCUGUGGCGAAGGCGCUCGGCUGGAACGCGUCCGACGGUGAGGGACGAAGGCCAGGGGAGCAAACCGGAUUAGAUACCCGGGUAGUCCUGGCUGUAAACGAUGCGGACUUUGUGUCGGACAAGCUAUGAGCUUGUCCGGUGCCGGAGGGAAACCGUUAAGUCCGCCGCCUGGGGAGUACGGCCGCAAGGCUGAAACUUAAAGGAAUUGGCGGG